rnacentral:misc_RNA from 1 species
AACACUGUUAACCUGCGGUACCUGCGGAGGGAUCAUUAGCGUGGGGCUCCGGCCCCGCCUGGGAUAGAACCCCUGACCUUUCGAGAACUGUGCGUUUCCUUGGCUGGGCUUGCCCGCCAACGUGGGACCCCACACGAACCAACUGAAAAACCCGUCACCUGUCUGAGAAAACAACGCAAAUAUCAAAACUUUCAACAACGGAUCU